rnacentral:lncRNA from 1 species
UCCUCCAGUCCUAGGAUCAUGGUGACUACAUAACAUAUCUGGAGUCCUUUAUAGCCAUCACCUCAUUUGCUUAUUACAGCUGUCCUUUGCCAUGUACUGGAGGUAGGAUGUUAUCCUUUCUGUUAUGGUUGAGAAAACUGAGGCUCCAUCCUUGAAUUUUCAUGGGCUAUCCCAAAUGUAUGGUUUUGAAACAAGUUUUUCUUUUCUUUCCUAGAAGAACACAAACAGAAUGGGCAGGAUAAGGACUCUUCCAUAACAAGACUAUGAAGCCACUUCCAAAACAAUUCCUGGUUGUGAUCCCACCCCAGGAGGCCAUGGCAGGAGGAGGAGGGAGGGGAGUGGGCCCUUGGGGAGUGUCUCUUCCCUAUGCCCUGCCUGUGGCUCUGGCCUUUCUUCUUCUUUUUUUUUUUUUUAAUGAUCAAUUUUUUUUGUUGUUUUUGAAGAAACAGAAAAAGGCAAAAGAACGUGGAUUUGAAACUUUCAGAAAACAAUACCAGUGUUUUCUUUCCAUUUUUCAUUUGCCACAUUUAUACAUUCUUCCAAAUUUGGGGUCACUUCCCUCACUCCUGAUGCUGCUACCCCACCAUAAUUUUGCUUCUGCCCUGAGAGCAGACGUCGCAGAAUGUCAGUUCUGGGUUGGCGCCGUCUGAACCUCUUGAACUUUAGCACAUGCAGAGCUCUUCUUCCUUGUUCUCUCCCACCGCAUCCCUCCCAUCCCCAACCUGCCACUCACAGGGCAGGAGGGGCCCACUGGCCAUCAGAAGUGGCUGGAUCCCACCAGUACCCCCUGGACAGCAUGCUGGUGAAGGGGUUUUGUUAGGGAGGAUCCUGAGAGGAAAGAGCCAGAGGGUAUGUGAGUGCCCUCAACAGAUUUCUGCAGCCCAGCAGGCAAAAUUGAGAACAUUGGCUGCUUAAUGACCUGGUUUACCAAUACCAGUGUCUAGCUGUACAGCUCAGAAAAGACAUACAGGAGAAGCAGAGGGGACCUGGAAGAGUGGCAGAAAGCAGAACCUGGCCAGUAGGAGACAAUGUCCCUUAAAAAAUGGUGGGGACCAAGUAACUGUGACGGUCUGAGCUUGUUAGGAAUCAAUUCUGCAGAAUCCCUUCCAGGGCACGGUGUGCAGGUUCCCAAAGUUGAGUGAGUCAGAGAUGGAGGAAUCCCAGGGGAAAGGCCACUGAACCAAAAAAGUCACUCCAUCAGGAAGCAUGGUGAUCUUCAGCUAAAGGUUCUCAAGUUGCCCUCUGGGGACAGGAAAGAUCCUCAAGGGGAAAGCCUCCAUGGAGGAUCAUGUAUCAAAUCCCUUGUGAAAAUAAAUACUAGCAUUGCCCACUCAUGCCCAGAGGGGAGCUUGCAUUGCCCACCUACACCCAGAAGUGAGCAUGCAUUCUGUUCUCAGAUGCCCCAACUCAGACAGCCACCCCUGAGAAGGAAUGGUAAGGACGUGCCAUCGCUUAGUGAAGAGCCAUUUGGAAGAGCUGAAGAGAGACAUUGGAGCAUCGCAGCUAUGAAGUUUUUCACACUGGAGUUUUGAAAGAAACAGCAAUACCAUAAACUCUAAUAAGGAAUCAUCAUCAGGAAUGGAAUUCCUAAUGUGAAAUAGGUGUUCUGUGCUAUUAAUUAAUCUUAUAAGUUUGCAUACAACAGAGAUGCUAGGAGGUUCUCUUUCAUCCUGAAAUCAGAAAUGCUAGUCUCGCGGCUGGGUGCAACCCCCAAUCCCAAGGUUUUCCUUUAUUUUCCCAUCCCCCAACCCAAAGAUCAGACUACUGUUAAGUUUCACCACACGAUUGGAAUCUGCAAAGGUGGGAGGCCAACGGAGUGAUCUGCAUUGAUGGAAUUGCACUGACAGUAUUUCUUAUAGGAUUACUAAAUUUUUUAAUAUAAAAAAAGAUUUUUUUAAAAAUCAGGAGUUGAUAUUAAGUACCAGGACAUUAGUUCAGAUGAUUUCAUUUUUAUUUCAACAGUGUUAAAAGUGCACUUAUAUGCUGGUUUAUUUGAGUCUUGGAAAAAAGAGACUGCAAAUUGAAGGGACGAUUGUUAACUUUUUCUUUAAAAAAAAAAAAAAGGUUAAGGCAGAUUUUAAGACUUAUAAAUGUUUAAGAAAUUAUAAACAAGGUUAGACCCUUUGAAAAAAAAGUUUAGAAGCUAUUCUUAAAGUAAAUUUUUAUAGUGUUAAUUUUGUAAUAAUUUAUGUUUUACUAUAUUACAGAGCUAACUGACCAGAAUAGUUUCAGAAACAAUAUGAAACUUAGGAAAGUUUAAGCAAUGUUUAUAUUUUUAAAAUGUUCUUUGAAUUAUGUUUUUAUUGUAUGUUUCUUCAGACCGAAAAGUAUGUACAUAUCUUUGUUAUUUUUGCACAAUUUUUGUCUUGUUCGGUUUUAGAAGUCUGAUGUUUUUUAUAAUUUAUUUUGAGUUUUAAAACUUGCAGGAGUAGAAACAAAACCAAUCUCAGCAACAAAAUAACCCUCUGAUUUAUAAACUUUUACACUCGAAGAGGGAAAACAAAGGUUGAGAGAUGAAGUGGCUGCUUCUGAGAAAUAGUGUCUCAACAGGGACUGAUGGAGCGGGUUCAACAUUUUAGCUCCCUGCGUCUUGAAAUGGAAGCUGGAAUAAAGAGGUUCCUCACCAAAUGCUGCUUACUUUCUUGAAAAACUGGCUCUGACCAAGGUGAGGACAUUUAUGGAUAACUGAGCAAAAAGGGAAAACCCACGGUAUUUCUUCUUUCGCAAUCAACCACAGGUUUACUUUGUAAUGAUGUAUUAAAACUUGCAGCUUGAAAAGUGGAAUGCAAAUAAAGGUUUUCUUUGGGUUUAUUUUCAUGGAGUUCAACUGGACCAGCCUAUAAAGCAUCUUUAGGGUGGUAUCCUUUGGGUCCUUCUGUUCUGCACACCCCCAAACAGCCUUCUCUCCCAGCCCCUUGACUGCACACACCCCUAUUUGCCUGAAGAUCUCCUGACUUGUCGCCAGCCAUAGAGGCUCGAAAGCUCUGGUUAAACAUAACGCAAUGCAUAGACCUGUCAGCCAU